rnacentral:lncRNA from 12 species
AUGCAGAAGUCAGGAGGAGGCCGCCCGGAGUCGGUCAGGCUCCUUUGGAGAGGCAGCAGAGUGGCUUCCCCGGAGCAAGCGGAACACAAAGCAUCAAGCCACCUCGGCCGGGAGCGUGCAGGUGGGCGGUCCGAAGGACAUUCACCCAGGAACGCACGCCCCGGCACACCCGGGGCUGAGGAGGUGGCUCGUGGAGCACGGCCUCAGCCUGGACACGCCCGGCAAGCUUUCGAGUGAACACGGCCACCGGAUCUGUUAAAAAGUUUCAAUUUGACUUCCAGAAUUUUCAGCGUGUGGUUGGCCAGUGGGAUGCUAGCGUCGUAGCAUGACAAGGCGAGUCGGCGCUCGUCGAGUCCGGCUCCCUGGCGAGGGUAUUUCCAGGUCGGGCUGUAGCCGCAUCCCUGUCCGCCUUCACUGUAGAGAGAUCUAGAAAGAUGACACCAGGAGCUCUGUCCGUCUGCAGAGUUGAAGUCGUUCUUGAAGAGCCCGUUCAUGUCAUUAGAAUAAGGUGACCUGCGGCAGGGAAGGUGCUCGGUGUUGUCGCCGGGUCGUCCACCGCCUUGAGAAGCAGCAGAUUAACGGGUUUGCUUAUGGGCCAAAUGGGCACCUGCUGUUUCAGAAAAUGCUGAGUUAUGUACAGGGUGUGUGUGUGAGUGUGAGGGAGUGUGUUGGAGGCACCUCGCUCGGCCCAGGUGUCCACAGUCAUCAGAAGCUCAUGAAAUGUUGACUUAAUGGUACCUUCGGGGGCGCCUGGGGGGCGCAGUCAGCUACGCAUCCACCUCUUGGUGGACACAAUCUCAGGGUUGGGAGAUGGAGCCCCAUGCCAGGCCCUGCACGGGGCUCUGUGCUGAGCAUGGACCCCGCCUGAGAGUCUCUCGCUCCCCAUGCUCCUCCCCCCUCCUCUCCCCCACCUCCCUCCACCCUCCCUCCUGCUUCCUGUUGUGUGCACGUGCCCCGUGCUCUCUCUCUCUCUCUAAAAAAUAAAAAAAAAUUGGUAACCUCUGUAUAACUUCUG